CUGGAAAGGGCCAAAGAUGCCCACACCAGGUGAUUUUUAGGAAAAGGAAGGCUUGCGGGGAGAGAGGGAACAUCUGUGGACCCCCCACCACCACCUUGGAGAAGCUCCCUGGAGGGAGUUGGAGUAGCUGUCAGGCAACUGAAUGUGUGUCUUGGAAGAUGGCAGCAUGGCUUCCCAGGGAGGAGCUCGAGCACAUUGUUGGAAGCUUCAAGUAUGAUGAGGAGAUACCUGUCCAGUCCACUAAUAUGAAGAGUUUGUACCUUUAAGAGCUUUAUUGAAGAGCUGUUGGAAUAAAACAUCUCCUGUUCCAGAGCUGUUGCUGCAAGCCUACCA